GACACUCACCCGGGGGGUCUCGACAAGAGGCUGAGAUACUGCUGGCACCCGUGCAGCGCAGUGACCCGAUGAACCUGAUCCAGUUCAUACUGGCGUAGGGAUGGUGCACUGGCCGCGCG
rfam:Roseovarius indicus strain B108 contig3, whole genome shotgun sequence.